GAAGACUCUAGCAUGUAAGGUUGGGGGAGGGGGCUGUGUCUAGCAAGUCUUCUUCCCCCACAGCCCUGCUGUCUUAACCUCUAGGUGUUCCGGCUCC
ensembl:miRNA Mir349 microRNA 349